rnacentral:rRNA from 1 species
GCACGAGAAAGGGCUUCGGCCCCGGUACAGUGGCGCACGGGUGAGUAACACGUGGGUAAUGUUCCCUCGGGCGGGGGAUAACCCUCCGAAAGGAAGGCUAAUACCGCAUAAGACCACGGCUUCGAAAGAAGCCGAGGUAAAAGCAGGCCUCUUCAUGAAAGCUUGCACCUGAGGAUCAGCCCGCGGCCCAUCAGCUAGUUGGCAGGGUAAGAGCCUACCAAGGCUAAGACGGGUAGCUGGUCUGAGAGGAUGAUCAGCCACACUGGAACUGAGACACGGUCCAGACUCCUACGGGAGGCAGCAGUGGGGAAUCUUGCGCAAUGGGCGAAAGCCUGACGCAGCGACGCCGCGUGGGUGAUGAAGGCCUUCGGGUUGUAAAGCCCCUGUGGGGAGAGACGAAUAAGUCGGAGCCAAUACCUCCGGCGAUGACGGUAUCUCCUUAGCAAGCACCGGCUAACUCUGUG